UUGCACUGUUUCCGCUAGAUGGCACUCGAGUAGCCCUGACAAUGGCUGUCAGUUCGCACUUCCGACAAGCCUCACGCUUCCUCUUUUUGUAAACUGCUUGAGUCGAAUAGACGUGUAUUUCAUUUGCUGCUCACGUUUCGUGUCGAUCUGACUUAAAAUUUUGCAAAAAUGCGUUACGUAGCUGCAUACCUGCUGGCUGUCCUGGGUGGCAACGCCGCACCAUCCAACUCGGACAUCGAGAAGAUCCUCAGCUCGGUCGGUAUUGAGGCCGAUUCGACCCGCGUCACCAAGGUGGUGAACGAGCUGAAGAGCAAGUCGAUCGAGGAACUGAUCGCUUCCGGACGCGAGAAGCUGUCCUCGAUGCCGGCUGGUGGCGGCGCUGCCGCUGCUGCCCCUGCCGCUGCCGGUGGCGGCGGUGGUGCUGCUCCGGCUGCCGAGAAGAAGGAGGAGAAGAAGGAAGAGUCGGAAUCCGAAGACGACGACAUGGGCUUCGGUCUUUUCGAGUAAAAGGUUGGUAUCGUACUCCUUGUGUUCCCUCAGUACAAUUGUAUAGCUUCACCGCGUGUUUCCAAUGAUGAAUACAACGAUAUAUCACCAUCUUUCGAAUGAUGAACAGUGAUUUAACACAUUUCUCCUGAUCAAUACAGUUUCGCCUGUCGUGAAACACGUGUCUAAUACUGUAACACAACGUUCUAAAACCAAGCAUUUCUUUUCCUUUUCCUUUUAUAGUUUAUUACUGCGUCACAUUCACUGCUAUGCUAUAUCGUUCAGAUAUAGCUAUCAACAAAUCCAAGGGGUUCGCAUCAUUGUUACAGUGCGUGUAAUGGUGUGGAUUGGGUAUUGUGUACAAAACGUGUGACAUAGGAAUAAAUUUUCAUUUCGAAAACUA